rnacentral:tRNA from 1 species
GGAGGAGCCAGCCGACAGAUGGCGCCGGCCGCGGUCUCGAAAACCGUUGGGGGUAACACCCGUGGGAGUUCGACCCUCUCCUCCUCCG